UCUCUGUUCUGCAGGAUGGAGUUUGUUAAAGUUGUCAAGAAUAAAGCCUACUUUAAGAAAUACCAAGUGAAAUUUAGAAGACAGUGAGUGGGUAAAACAUUACAAUGCUCAGAAAUGCUUGGUAAUGUCAGAUAAAAAUAAGUGCAACACAUGGAAAUACAGAAUGAUAGUUCAUAUAACAAACAGAUAUUAUCUGUCAGAUUGCUUAUGCCCGUGGAUAAGGGGAUAUGAUAGUCUGUGCAGCUUAUGCACACAAACUACCAAAAUAUCAUGUGAGAGUUGGCCUGACAAGUUAUGUGGCAGCAUGUUGUACUGGCCUACUGCUGGCCCACAGGCUUGUCAGUAGGUUUGUUAUGGACAAGAUCUAUGAAGGGCCAAGUGGAGGUAACCAGACCAAGUGCUUUCAUCUGCUAUUUGGAUGCAGGUCUUGCUAGAACUACCAAUGGGAAUAAAGUUUUUGGAGCCCUGAAGGGAGCUCUGCCUGUCCCUCACAGUACCAAACAAUUCCCUGUUAUGAUUCUGAAAGCAGAGAGUUUAAUGCAGAAGCACAUCAUGGGUCAGAACAUUGCAGAUCAUAUGCAUUACUAAUGGAAGAAGAUGAAAAUGUUUAUAGUAUAUAAAGAGCAGCAUAACUCCAGACGUGAUGGAGGAGAUGUAUAAGAAAGUUCAUGCUGCUAUAUGAGAGAAUUCUGUGUAUGAGAAGAAACCUGAGAAAGAAGUGAAAAAGAAGAGGUGGAAUUGUCCCAAAAUGCCCCUUGCCCAGAAGAAAGAUCAGGUAGAUCAAAAGAAGGCAAGCUUCCUCAGAGCUCAGGAGUGGGCUGCUGAGAGCUGAACCAAACAAUUUUCUAUGAAGAUUUUUUUUCAGAUAAAGACAAUAAAUAUACUGACCA